AGAGUUUGAUCCUGGCUCAGAACGAACGCUGGCGGCAUGCCUAACACAUGCAAGUCGAACGCUCCGCAAGGGGAGUGGCGCACGGGUGAGUAACGCGUGGAAACCUGCCUCGAGGUUCGGAAUAACUGCGGGAAACUGCAGCUAAUACCGGAUAAGUCGGGCCGCUGUGGUGGCGGUCCGGGAAAGAUUUAUCGCCUUGA
rnacentral:rRNA from 1 species